GCCCCCGUAGCUCAAUGGAUAGAGCUACUCCGUCCUAAGGAGGAGAUGGUGGUUCGAUUCCGCCCGGGGGCA
rnacentral:tRNA from 1 species